ACCGAAGCCACGCCCAGUUCCUGAACCACGUCGGCUCCCCUCCCCCAACACCGUUCGGAAUCCUUGGGUCAACCGCCUCCGUCUCCACAGCAACGGAGUUUCAGAGCGCGCGGCAGCUUGGGGGCGGGGUUCCCAGUCCCCCGGUCAAAUUUUAGGACUUUUCAGCAGGAAAGCUGCACAACUGGAGGAGGGCAGGACGAGGCUGGCCUCGCAGGUCGGGCUACGUUCUUCUACGGUCUGAGGCGUUGUCUAGAAACUCAAAAUCUCUGGAAUCCCAUCCAGGACUCCUCCAUCAAGAUUUCUUCCGAUCCUGAGUAACCAAGAUUGGAAUACUGACCCCUUCAGGAGGCAGCCCAUGCCGUUUUUUCCCAACCGCUCUAAUCUGCCCCAAAUGCUUCCUUAUAUGAAUCCAAAUUUGUCUCUCCUUGACCUCUACCCUCUGCACUGUUUCAGCCUCCGCCUCUGGGGCCUUACUAAACAAGUCCAAUCACCCUUCCACGUGACCCCUUAUCUAACUGUAGGUGGGAUUAAUGUACUUAUCUGCCCAAACAGCUCCAGUCCUUUAAACUGCCUUUUAUUGAUUGUGAGACAAAUUUGAGGACACCCUGGGGCAGAGCGCAACCAAAGGUGCCUUGCGGUCUCAUUAGUCAUAUGGAAUUCAGCACUGACCAGGGCUUAACUAGCCAUUAAGGCCCUGCACUUUGCCUAGAGGAGCCCACCCAGGAUACUACAUUACAUUCAGAUGUCAUGUCUCCUUAGGCUCCUGCAGACUGACAAUUUCUCAAACUUUGUUUUUGAUGACUUUGACAAUUUUGAGGUGGUAUGAUAAUUUGUGAAGUGUUUCUCAUGCUUAGCCUGGAGUUACAAGGUUGGAGAAAAAGACCAAAGAUGUGAAGUGCCAUUCUCAUCACAUCAUGUCAAGGGUACAUGCUGUUAACAUGAAUUAACAUCGAUGAUGUUAACCUUGAUGUCCUGGCUGAGAUGAACUCUCUUGGAUAGAAGGAUUCAAACAGAAAAAUGCAAAAAGAAGUCAGAUGGAAAACUCUGGAAAAUCCAAGAAGGGAGCUAGUUGAUGAUGAGCAAAGCCACAUGUGCUGUCUUGACAGCCAUAGAGAAGAAUGGAGGCCUCCAUACCUGAGUGGAAAGAGAAGAACAUGGGCAAUGAUUUUGUCUCUACAAAACAACAACAACAACAGACAAACAAAAUUAGCUGAGUGUGGUGGUGUGCACCUGCAACUUCACUACUUAGCAGGCUGGGGUGGGAGGAUGGCUUGAACCCAGGAGUUCAAGGCUAUAGUGAGCUGUGAUUGUGCCACUGCACUCCAGCCUGACAGAACAAGACCAUGUCUCAAAAGGAAAAAAAAAAAAGAAAAGGAAAGAAGAAAAGAAUUUAAAAAGAGAAGGGAGAAUGAGAAGAGUCACAACUUUGAUAAAGUGGGGAGCAUUGGGUUGGGUAUGGAAUGGUAGUAGUCUUGUCUAGUUCAGAAUCAGACAGACCUGAGUUUAGUCCUUCACAUCUACCCUUUUACCCUUCUUAUUUUAUUUCCCUUCCCUUCCCAUUUUGUUAUUCAUUUAAUAAAGUUUCUAAAUUCUA